rnacentral:rRNA from 1 species
AGAGUUUGAUCCUGGCUCAGAACGAACGCUGGCGGCAUGGAUUAGGCAUGCAAGUCGAACGGUGGCAGCAAUGUCAUAGUGGCGCAAGGGUGAGGAACGCGUGAGUGAUCUGCCCUCAAGUUUGGAAUAGCUCCUGGAAACGGGAAUUAAUACCGGAUGAGAUUGUAAAGCUGCAUGGUUUUGCAAUGAAAGCAGCAAUGCGCUUGAGGAGGAGCUCGCGUCCCAUUAGCUGGUUGGUGAGGUAAAGGCCCACCAAGGCGAUGAUGGGUAGCUGGUCUGAGAGGACGACCAGCCACACUGGGACUGAGAACUGCCCAGACUCCUACGGGAGGCUGCAGUCGAGAAUUUUGGGCAAUGGACGAAAGUCUGACCCAGCAAUGCCGCGUGCGGGAUGAAGGUCUUCGGAUUGUAAACCGCUGUCGAGGGGGACGAAAAUUGACGGUACCCCUGGAGGAAGCCACGGCUAACUACGUGCCAGCAGCCGCGGUAAUACGUAGGUGGCGAGCGUUGUUCGGAUUUAUUGGGCGUAAAGGGUCCGCAGGGGGUUGAUUAAGUCUGACGUGAAAUCCCUGAGCUCAACUCAGGAAUGGCGUUGGAGACUGGUUGACUGGAGUAUUGGAGAGGUAAUUGGAAUUCCAGGUGUAGCGGUGGAAUGCGUAGAUAUCUGGAAGAACAUCGAAAGCGAAGGCAGAUUACUGGACAAUGACUGACCCUCAGGGACGAAAGCAUGGGGAGCAAACAGGAUUAGAUACCCUGGUAGUCCAUGCCCUAAACGGUGUAAACUUGAUGUGAGCGGAAUUACUCCCGUUUGUGUCGAAGCUAACGCGAUAAGUUUACCGCCUGGGAACUACGGCCGCAAGGCUAAAACUCAAAGGAAUUGACGGGGGCCCGCACAAGCGGUGGAGCAUGUGGCUUAAUUCGAGGCAACGCGAAGAACCUUACCU